GGACCUGUAUGGGUUUAUAUUUGACUGUAACAUCUGUCACCUCAUUGAUCACCAGGGUUGAUUCGGCUGAUCUGGCUGGCUAGGCAAGUGUCCCCUUCCUCCCUCACUGCUCCAUAUGUGUCCCUCCCGAAGUGCGCACUUGGUGGAAGAGGAUGACGUCCCAGGUAUAGAAUGAAUGUACCAAGAUCUCCAGUCUUGGGUCCCAGGUAUAUGAUAGCUGCACUUCACUGCUAGAACCAGUAUUGGUUCAUGAACCACUACAUUGAGUAGCACUACAUCAAGAGAAUGCU
rnacentral:snRNA from 1 species